rnacentral:sRNA from 1 species
GCCAGGCAUGGUGGUGCAUGCCUGUAAUCCCAGCAGCUCAGGAGGCUGAGGCAGGAGGAUCUUGAGUUCAAAGCCAGCCUCAGCAACGGCAAGGCACUAAGAAACUCAGUGAGACCCUGUCUCUA